UAAUACGUAGGCAGCGAGCGUUGUUCGGAGUUACUGGGCGUAAAGGGUGUGUAGGCGGUUGUUUAAGUUUGGUGUGAAAUCUCCCGGCUCAACUGGGAGGGUGCGCCGAAUACUGAAUGACUUGGAGUGCGGGAGAGGUGAGUGGAAUUCCUGGUGUAGCGGUGAAAUGCGUAGAUAUCAGGAGGAACACCGGUGGUGUAGACGGCUCACUGGACCGUAACUGACGCUGAGACACGAAAGCGUGGGUAGCAAACAGGAUUAGAUACCCUGGUAGUCCACGCCCUAAACGAUGCAUAUUUGGUGUGGGCAGUUCAUUCUGUCCGUGCCGGAGCUAACGCGUUAAAUAUGCCGCCUGGGGAGUACAGUCGCAAGGCUG
rnacentral:rRNA from 1 species